rnacentral:rRNA from 1 species
CCUACGGGUGGCUGCAGUGGGGAAUAUUGCACAAUGGGCGAAACCCUGAUGCAGCGACGCCGCGUGAGUGAAGAAGUCUUUCGGUCUGUAAAGCUCUUUCAGCAGGGAAGAAAAUGAGGGUACUUGAUCCAGAAGCGACGGCUAACUACGUGCGAGCAGCCGCGGUAAUACGGAGGGGGCAAGCGUUAUCCGGAUUUACUGGGUGUAAGGGGAGUGUAGACGGGAGGAAAAGUCUGGAGUGAAAUGCCGGGGCUUAAGCCCGGAACUGCCUUUGAAACUGUGCAGCUGGAGUGCAGGAGAGGUAAGUGGAAUGCCUGGUGUAGCGGUGAAAUGCGUAGAUAUCAGGAGGAACACCGGUGGCGAAGGCGGCUUACUGGACUGUAACUGACGUUGAGGCUCGAAAGCGUGGGGAGCAAACAGGAUUAGAUACCCCUGUAGUC